rnacentral:lncRNA from 1 species
GAAAUAGUGGGCUGGGUGUGUGCUCAACCUGAAGCUGUGAGGGCUGAAUUUUUUCUCUCCUGGAGACAUUGUGAACCACAGAAGCUGGGGCCUGGGCCAGGGAGGGGUGGGGUCUUCUGAGGGGGCCUGAGCCCGAGAGGGGUGGAUUCUCCUGAGGGCCUGCUCUGUUGGCUGCUCCUGGUGACCUUGAAUCUACUUUCUGCUGCUGAGAAUUUACCUAUUUUGGAUGCUUCAUGAGACGAUUCCUCUUAGCAAAAGGGCACUGUGUACCCUCCAAGGCUGGAAAUGAUAGGUUUUCGGCGAGGAGUGAAAAUAUUGUGCUGACAGCCCUUUGCCUGUGUAGAGCAGGGUUGUUUACUCGCGCUGGAGCACAGCUUUAUUGAAGCAGAGAGUCAUGGUCCCAUCAUCAGGGUUGCCUAGCAACCAGUCUACGCCACUCCACAGAGUUUCAGAAUGGGCUGGACCACAAGUACCCACUUUGGGGGAUUUCCAGUGACAGUCCUACUCUCACUCCAUCACAUCGCUUCUAAAAUCUGAGUCACAUGGUUCAAAUUUCACAGUACAAAGUGUGUUCUUCAGAUCUGGGGUUCUCUCCAAAAUGGAUAAUCAUUAUUGAUUUUGUAAUGCAAUGCCAAGACCAUCAGUAAG